AGGCCUCCCUCCCGUGGCAUGACGAGGGCCACCUUCCCCCGUGUCCUCGUGGCCUCCCCCACAUGUCCCUGGUGGCUCCUCCUCCUCUUGUAAGAACACAGUCACGUCGGAUCUGAGCUCACGUAACCACAGUGUUUCCAGGUGCCCACGCGCAGCCACAGCUCCGGUACCGGGCUUCAGACGCCAUCCGUGAAUUUGGUGAUACAAUUCAGCCAUAAAGCCACAAAGGCAAGUGAUAGCCGGGAAAGGUCAGCCAUGGUGCAGACAGAAGCAUCCAGGACACAACUCUGUCGCUGCUGCACAGCCAGAAGUUAAACCAGCGGGGAUUGCAUGGACAGAAACUAUUUUAUUUACUCACCUCGGCUCUGUGCCAUCGAACACGGAAGAAACCACCCGUCCCCUCCUUUCUGAGAUUGUUCCUGUGGCCCGAAAACCAACCAUCAAAAUUGCAGCCCUACUCAGAUGUCUAUAGACAUGUCCGCUGCCCAUCACCCUCCAGAUGACACCAACCAGGAUUAUCACAGGACACGACAUUUAUCAGAGGACACGCCUGUGGGGAAACAGGAGGGGGAGGCCCAGGGGACUGGCAGGCAGACAGUGGGCAGGGCUGGACCUCGAGAGAGAGGACUAGGGGCAGGGAUCUGACACCUGGGGUGUGUGGAGCCCCGUGCCCACAGCUGCCCCCUCCAGAAGCACCCCGUUUCGCUCCCCUCCUGCACUGACCGCUCAGCCCCAGCCGAGAGGAGGAUGGGGCCGAAACGGCAGACAGUUCCUUCAUGCAAGCCUGGCCGACACAGGCCGUGUCUCGUCCGCCUGAGCACCUCGUUUCCACGGCUCAUUCUUCAAAGCCCACCAUGGCGGGAGAAAGCACCUGUGAGGAAGGAGGUCGAACCAUCGGGUCUCAGGGGCCCUGAGGGCUGCAACACAGCAGGGUGGACGCCAGCGAGGACAGGUGAACCAUCGGGUCUCAGGGGCCCUGCGGGCUGCAGCAGGGGGUUGCCGGCAAGGACAGGUUGCGCAGGGGCCACGGGAGGGUCCCGCCAAGGCCGGCCGGGUGCCCUGGUGAAGGCGGCGGGCUCCCCUCCUGCCCACGUGGGCCUCCCGGGAAACGCCGUCUUGUAUGACGUACGCCCCACCUUUUCCGAAUCGGAAUGCACACGUCUGACGGCAAAGUUCCCGCACAGCAAGACCGUGAGUGUGGAAAUGGAGCCCAUCGGCCUCGUAGGGAAGGAGGGACUUUGUCUGCGUGACUCCAUUCCUGGCUCCCCCGGCACCCAGGCCAGGCCGUCAGGAAUGAACCGGGCCUUUCAAUUAAACGUGUUCAUGAAGCAUUUCCGGGGACCUCCAGGACCUCUGGGACAGUGACCACCUCCUCCAGACAUGCUUCUGUUUCCCCAGAAACCGCCGAGGCACCUCUGCACGGGGACACGAGAGCAGCAACUACGAUUUCCCAGAGGCGGGCCUCUCGCCGACACGCUGAUGUCUCCCUGCUCAGAGGAAGUCAUUCCCAGGCAGCAACGACCAGAAGAUAUUCAAAUAACCCCACCAGUGCCACGGAGGAGGGGACCGACGUGCCACAUCACCUCCCACGAGGGGCCCGGGCACGGGGGGGGGGGGGAUCUGGCCUCACUCCCAGACGCCGCCCCAUCGUUCCCACAGCCGAGCCCCAGCUCCACGGCCCCCAGCCCUCCUGGGCCUCCUCGGCCUCCCCGGGCUCUUCUGACGUGAGGACUGGGCCAGGGGCCUAGGGGCCAGGGCAGCUCAUCAGAGCCAGGACCCAGGACCGAGUGGACUCUCUGCGGGGUCCUCGCCUCUCGCACCUGCAGUGCCAACCUCAUCAGCCUUACACCCCUGAGAUGGUGUCGAAACAGGGGCAGCCGUGACCUUGGGCACCGACCCCGAAGGCCGCGUCUUCGCCCUACAAGCCUGUCGCUCGCAUCGUAACCCACGAACCAUCCGACGUUCAGGGGGCAGAACCCUGUGAAUCGGGGCCACAGA